rnacentral:rRNA from 1 species
CCUACGGGUGGCAGCAGUGGGGAAUAUUGCACAAUGGGGGAAACCCUGAUGCAGCGACGCAGCGUGAGUGAAGAAGUAAUUCGGUACGUAAAGCUCUAUCAGCAGGGAAGAAAAUGACGGUACCUGAGUAAGAAGCCCCGGCUAACUACGUGCCAGCAGCCGCGGUAAUACGUAGGGGGCAAGCGUUAUCCGGAUUUACUGGGUGUAAAGGGAGCGUAGACGGUGGGCCAAGUCUGGAGUGAAAUGCCGCAGCUUAACUGCGGAACUGCUUUGGAAACUGGGGAACUAGAGUGCGGGAGGGGUAGGCGGAAUUCCUGGUGUGGCGGGGAACUGCGUAGAUAUUAGGAGGAACACCGGUGGCGAGGGCGGCUUACUGGACCGUAACUGACGUUGUGGCUCGAAGGCGUGGGGUGCAAACGGGCUUGACUACCGAGUAGUC